rnacentral:hammerhead_ribozyme from 1 species
AUCCAGAUGACAAGUCCCAAAUAGGACGAAACGCGAGUCAAACUGGAU